rnacentral:rRNA from 1 species
UACGAAGGGGGCUAGCGUUGCUCGGAAUCACUGGGCGUAAAGGGUGCGUAGGCGGGUCUUUAAGUCAGGGGUGAAAUCCUGGAGCUCAACUCCAGAACUGCCUUUGAUACUGAGGAUCUUGAGUUCGGGAGAGGUGAGUGGAACUGCGAGUGUAGAGGUGAAAUUCGUAGAUAUUGGGAAGAACACCGGUGGCGAAGGCGGCUCACUGGCUCAUAUCUGACGCUCAGGCGCGACAGCGUGGGGAUCAAACAGG